AUGGAGAAGAUAGAAAAGGGAACACAGAGCAUGUGGGUUGUUUGUUUAUGUUCUUCUUCUUCUCUGAUUGCUAUCAAUUACCCCAGCUGAUCAAUUGCUAUCAAUUAUUAUCCUCAGAUGGGUGCUAUUUCAUGACAGGAACCACAACUCCAAAAGUUAUUAAUGAUCAAGUUUUUUCACUAUAAUGGGUCAUUGUACUUCAAGCAGAUGUUUGACAAGUUAUAACAGGCUAGAGAAGUUCUAACAGAGGUGCAUUUCCUUCCCUUUAAUCCAGUGGACAAGCGUAGCUCCUUAACAUACAUAGACACUGACGGUAAUUGGCACCGAGUAAGCAAGGGAGCACCGGAGGAGAUUAUUGAAUUGUGCAGCAUUAGAGAAGAUGUGAGAAGGAGAGCUAUUUCCAUUAUUGACAAAUUUGCUGAACGCAGUCUCUCUUCCCUUGCUGUUGGUAAACAAGACCAUCUCAUGGCUCAGGAUUGACUUGGCAUAUGAGAAUUAAGAUUUCUCUUGACACAACAAGUCUCGGACUGUUGUGGCAGAGAAUUUACCUGACGAUCAUUCCCAUCAAAAUCUUCAGAAAAUAUUUGCCAUAGUCGAGAGCGUCAAAACAAUCAGAAUAUGCCAUCCCCAAGAACCAAAUUCUUCUCGGCCGAAAGGUGAUUUCCUCAUCAGUAACAAGGUACAAAAAAUAUGGCAUAUACCAUAUUACUAUGUUGUCUUGGCAGUCAAGGGUGAUGCAUCUCUUGAGUGAUAAAUGACAGCACCCGUAGCACCUAGAGAAUGUGUCCUGGAAUGUGUGGAUGCAGCAGAUGGAAAACCAACAGAUGAAAAUGUGGAUUUUACCUGUCUAUUGAAAAUGCUGAUGCUGAUCUUAGAACUUUGCCUUUCAGCAAUCUGAAACAAAUUUCAGGAACAAAGAGUAGAAAUCAAAAUAUAGAGAUGCUGUGCAUAAAAUGCGUAAGGUCCGGGGUUCAAACCUGGCCACCACCAAAAUCAAGAUCUUGAAUUCAUGCAUCAUGAAAGAAAACUAAAUAAUAUGGGUUUAGAUCCGGUCCAAGGACACUGGCACUAGAGCAAGGGCUUUAGGCACCCCAAAAUUUGUAGGCCUCUGAAUAUUUUUCGUUUUAAAUAUAUUUUCAUAAGUCGAAUUUUUUAAACAUUUUUGCGUCGAACUCAAUUAGUAGUUAAAUGGAGAGAUAGACUCUCACAAACUGAUGAAUCAAUAUUUUUUUAAUGAUGAUGAAUGAAUAUUUGAUUACUAAAUAUGGGCAAUGAAUAUUUCCUUAAAUAAAGUUACACAUUUACUGUUCUUAAUUUUUAUAUUUCUUUGUCAACAGACUUAAAAGGCUCGAAUUUCAAAUUCGCUUUAAGCCAUCAAAUUUCCCUUCAUUUACACGAGAUUCAUAGAGAGUUAGACGAUGAGAUUUCGCAAUUUUUUACUUGCAAAAUUGCACUGAGUUGGGGAAAAGUGCAUUUUUCAGGUUAUUGAUCAGUUGGCUGCUCAAUCCUAGAUAUUAUCAGGCAAAUCCUCCAAGAAGGUGAGUUGCAGCAAUCUCUAAACCUUUUCUAAAUUGACUAAUGACGCAAAGUCACCUAAGAGAUUAGGUGUGUCUCCGUGUCCAACACUUCACACGCGUUGGUGUUCGACACCAACACUACACCGACACCGACACAUAUAUUUGUUAGCAUUAUCAACAACUCCUCUAACUUUUCUUAUGUCAAUGCUAUAUUCUGAACUAAUAGACAUCAUUUGCUUAUCAGUCAAAUUGGCCACAAUUUCUGCAUCAAAUUCUGAAAAUGCAUCUCUGCACAUAAAUUUAAAGUUAGUUACUUCCCUAGAGCAAAAAAAAUAAUUUAUGUGCAUAUGCAAUUAGGUAUAUGAAUGAAUUUUCUCAUAAUCAAACCUGAAAUCUAGGUGUUACUUUCUUAGUAGUGUUAUCAAAUAUCAGCCGCAACGACACUAUGGCGGGUUGUGGUGGCAGAUUUUAAAUUUUCUGUUAUGGUAAAUGGCGGCCGAUAUCCUGCCAUUUCCGCUAUAAUUAUGUCAUACAGAACUGUAAUUGCGCCAUAUAAUGAGCACUAAAGACCCUUUCUCAUUAGUAGCAAUGUUGGGCAUAUUGAGUUCUUGAUCUUGGAUAAAUAGGGAGAUGAGAUACAAGUGUCCAUGAACUGGCAUUUGCAAGACCGGCUGGUUGGUUCCAAUUUGUUAGGGACAAUCACCUACAAGAGGGCGACAAGCUGUUAUUCGAUUUAGGUGUUACUCCUACAGUGUUGUUUGUGGAGUUGGUCCUUAGAAAUGAUCUUGCUUGAAGAAAAGUUCUAAACUUUUGGAAAUUGUACGCUGGCAUGUAUAUUUUGUAUAAUAUUUCGAUGACAAUGUUUUGAAUGUGGUUUGGAUUUAGUAAUCCAACCCUUUUUUGGUAACCAACCUUAAAUUGGUUGUACACUACAUGACAACAUCUAUAUUUCUGUUGUAGUACAUUAUGUACGCAAUGACAAUAAUUGUUAUGCUAUCUUUUAUGCCAUGUCUUAGACCAUGCAUCACAAAUAUUCGGAUUA